AGAUCUAAAAAUAGAUAUAUACA
rnacentral:snRNA from 1 species